rnacentral:rRNA from 1 species
CUGGCUCAGGAUGAACGCUAGCUACAGGCUUAACACAUGCAAGUCGAGGGGCAGCAUUGGAGUAGCAAUACUUCAGAUGGCGACCGGCGCACGGGUGAGUAACACGUAUCCAACCUGCCGCUUACUCGGGGAUAGCCUUUCGAAAGAAAGAUUAAUACCCGAUGGUAUAAAGAGUUCGCAUGUUCUCUUUAUUAAAGAAUUUCGGUAAGCGAUGGGGAUGCGUUCCAUUAGAUUGUUGGCGGGGUAACGGCCCACCAAGUCUACGAUGGAUAGGGGUUCUGAGAGGAAGGUCCCCCACAUUGGAACUGAGACACGGUCCAAACUCCUACGGGAGGCAGCAGUGAGGAAUAUUGGUCAAUGGACGAGAGUCUGAACCAGCCAAGUAGCGUGAAGGAUGACUGCCCUAUGGGUUGUAAACUUCUUUUAUAAGGGAAUAAAGUGAGGGACGUGUCCCUUUUUGUAUGUACCUUAUGAAUAAGGAUCGGCUAACUCCGUGCCAGCAGCUGC